GACUCUCCUGCCCCCACUCGCACGCCCGACUACGCCCGACUCACUGCCCUCGUUCGCGGCCGCCUCCAUCCCUUCGCCGCCGCCGCUCCAUCCCUUCGCCGCCGCUAACGUGCCGGGAUCGCCUCUCCGCCUCGGCGCUUGCGCUUCCAGAUCGAAGCCCACGACGGCGGCGUUCCCAGAUCGGCGACGCGCACCGUACGUCACGGCUGACGGCCGUGUCCUCGUCAAGUAAGCGUCGCUUCGAGGUGGCGGCAACCAAGGCCUCCCGGAUCCCCGCCUCCUUCCUCACAUCUCUGGCGGCGACAGUGACAAAUUCCGACACCAUGAGGCCACCGGCAUGAGGAGGUACUCACCCGUCUCCUUACGCGCUACCUUAUUCUUCUUCCUCACAUCCCCGAUCUCACCCGCGGGCGCUGUUACGCUUCACACAGGAUGCAGCGGGAGGGGUUUCGGCGGCAGGAGCGACGGCG
rnacentral:lncRNA from 1 species